rnacentral:lncRNA from 1 species
AGUACUCUGAUGGUUUUGGCUGUAAUAUAAUUAGCAAUGUGGAAUGAAAUGAUGGAUCUUUUAUUUUUGACAAAUUUCUGAAAUAGACUUCAAUGUGAUGCAUUAAAACAUCUCCAUGAGGCUUUAUCUUCUUCUCGUGAGGCAGCAGAACAAACCAGCUGUCAUGGAAUAUAUGCUGUUUAUAGGGCAAUAUUCUUCCACUUCUUUGAAAAGAACUAAUGAAGGCUGCAAAUUCACAAUGAUUUAAUUACAUUUUAAAUGCACCAAGAAGCCGUAAUGAAAAGAUUUAAGCAUCUUAAUUAUGCUAUCAAUAUUACCUAAUGCAGAGAGAAAUGGAAAACCUACUAGGCAGUAAGUAACUUAAAUGGCUGAAAUUAUGUGAAAUAUUCAAUAUUAUCUGAUUUCACUUUCAGGUUCUAAAAAGUAGCCAUAGAAAUUUUCACCUUAAGAUUCCCUAUAGCAACACAUAUUUUAAAUUUUCAGAAAAAGUACUGGACAACACAGCUGAGAGCACAGUCUCACUUAACAAUGUUACAGUGGUAGAAUAAAUAUGAGAAAUUGGAAUCCAAUGUGUAAAACCUCUGAACACCUAGUAAACAAUUACAUAGUGUUAUUUUUUGACGUGAUAGUCCAUGCAUGAAGUAACACCUAUUAUUGCUUUUUGUCUGUUGCUUUCCUGAAGGUUUUGUGCCCCCCUCCUUUCUGUUCAUUUCUAUCACAGUUUCUCCAGUUGCAAUGUAUUUGUAUUCCUUUGAGAUGAACCAGUGUCACUCCGGAGCUCUCAGUGUGCUGCGUGUGGACUGAAAGACAUCAACAGCCCACAUGUGGGAAGGCCAGCUUCUCUUCCCUUCUUGCCAGCAUGCCUCACUCCUCCAUUUAGUCACUGGACUUGCAGGUGGGACAGAAUUUGGAAACAAGACCUUAUAUUCAAAGUUUGCUGUAACAGGAGACGCAGUGCAUCUGUGGAUCCCUGCACUUGUAUGUGCCUGCCAGCCAACAAACCUGUGAAAGCUCUAAUGGAAACAGAAACUGAAUUGAAAGAGAGUCAUUCCUACCUGCAGCCUGCUUCAGAUGUAAUGAUUAUGAUUACAAACAACAAUGACUUUUCACAGUACAGUAUUUUUGACCACAAUUGGGUUCUACAUGAACUUGUUCUUAUGUAUACAUAA